rnacentral:rRNA from 1 species
UACGAAGGGGGCUAGCGUUGUUCGGAAUCACUGGGCGUAAAGGCGCGUAGGCGGCCGAUCAAGUCGGGGGUGAAAGCCUGUGGCUCAACCACAGAAUUGCCUUCGAUACUGUUUGGCUUGAGACCGGAAGAGGUAAGUGGAACUGCGAGUGUAGAGGUGAAAUUCGUAGAUAUUCGCAAGAACACCAGUGGCGAAGGCGGCUUACUGGUCCGGUUCUGACGCUGAGGCGCGAAAGCGUGGGGAGCAAACAGG